rnacentral:lncRNA from 1 species
ACACAAAAGUUUUACCUUUACAAGUCAACUGCGUUAGCGGAAGAGCUAACUUAGAAAACCCUUCAAUAAACCUUCUAUAGUAACCAGCUAAACCCAAGAAACUUCUAAUCUCAGUAACUGACUUAGGAGUCUCCCACUGUGAUACCGCUUCAACUUUAGACGGAUCCACUGCAAUUCCAUCACCAGAAAUAACAUGGCCUAGAAAACUC